AAAGCAACUAUGUCAAUGGAAGAUAUUAACAUCAAAAUAGGGCAAAAGUAGUAGGAAAUCAGAAAAUUCAAGUAAAAUGAAUCCCAAGAGUAAUUAGCAGUAAACCAUAUGAAGUCAAAGCCCAACUAUCUGUGUAAAUAAAUGAACAGCCAACAUCAAAUAAGACACUUGCUGGUAAGGGUUUACAAGUAUAUAUAAUUAUUAAUGAGAAAAACCCAUAUAUGCACAGGAUUUUUCAGAAGCACCAACAGCAUAUUACAAAUAUAUUUGAAUCCUUUCUUUCUGGAAGGAAGCGACUAAAUUCACAUAAAGUUGCAAAAGUAAAUUCCUCAAGGUUGAAAAAAGGAGAGAGGGAGGGAGAAAGCAACACUCACCAAAACGAUUGACCACAUAUACAG
rnacentral:misc_RNA from 1 species